rnacentral:rRNA from 1 species
GACGAACGCUGGCGGCGUGCUUAACACAUGCAAGUCGAACGGAAAGGCCCUGCUUUUGUGGGUUGCUCGAUUGCCGAACGCGUGAGUAUCACGUGUGUAUCCUGCCCUUGUCUUUCGUAUAACUUCACGAAACUGGGGCUAAUACCGUAUAUGAUCUCCUGCUCCGUGGUGUGCGUUGGAAAGUUUCGGCGGUUGGGGAUGGACUCGCGGCUUAUCAGCUUGUUGGUGGGGUAGUUGCUUACCAAGGCUUUGACGGGUAGCCGGCCUGAGAGGGGUGACGGGGACAUUGGGACUGAGAGACGGAGCAGAAGGCUACGGGAGGCAGCAGGGGGGAAUAUUGCACAAUGGGCGGAAGUGUGAUGCAGAAACGUUGGGUGCGGGAAGACGGCCUUCGGGGUGUAAACAGCUUUAGCCUGAGACGAAGCGGGAGUGACGGUAAUGGGUAAAGAAGCACCGGCUAACUACGUG